rnacentral:rRNA from 1 species
GACGAACGCUGGCGGCGUGCUUAACACAUGCAAGUCGAACGGAAAGGCCCUGCUUUUGUGGGGUGCUCGAGUGGCGAACGUGUGAGUAACACGUGAGUAACCUGCCCUUGACUUUGGUAUAACUUCAGGAAACUGUGUCUAAUACCGGAUAGGAGCUCCUGCUUCAUGGUGGGGGUUGGAAAGUUUCGUCGGUUGGGGAUGGACUCGCGGCUUAUCAGCUUGUUGGUGGGGUAGUGGCUUACCAAGGCUUUGACGGGUAGCCGGCCUGAGAGGGUGACCGGCCACAGUGGGACUGAGAUACGGCACAGACUACUACGGGAGGCAGGAGUGGGGAAUAGUGCACAAGGGGCGGAAGCGUGAUGGAGAAACGGCGCGGGCGGGAUGACGGCCUUCGGGUUGUAAACCGCUUGCGAGUGUGACGAAGCGUGGGUGAGGGUAAUGGGGAAAGAAGCACCGGCUAACUACGU